AAAAAAAUGAGCCCCUUUGAGACUACAUCAAUCGCUUCAAUGUUGCGACCUCGAAGGUACGAAAUUUGGACUAAUUGGUGGUCAUGAUGACACUUAAAGCUGGACUACUUUAGAAUUAUCUCUUUUUUUCGCUUGAAAAAAAGUAUCCUAGAGACUUUGCCGAGAUGUUGGAGCGAGUCAAAAAGUAUACCAAUGCAGAAGAUGCCUGGGAUUGACAUUGUGAGAACCCUGGCGGUGGAUCCCAAGGAAGAAUGACCCAAAGAAGGGAAAGGACUACAAGUG
rnacentral:lncRNA from 1 species